rnacentral:rRNA from 1 species
CCCUUAGAUGUUCUGGGCUGCACGCGCGCUACACUGAUGCGUUCAACGAGUUUAUGACCUUGCCCGAUAGGGUUGGGUAAUCUUUUUAAAUCGCAUCGUGAUGGGGAUAGAUUAUUGCAAUUAUUAAUCUUCAACGAGGAAUUCCUAGUAAGCGCGAGUCAUCAGCUCGUGCUGAUUACGUCCCUGCCCUUUGUACACACCGCCCGUCGCUCCUACCGAUUGAACGAUUCGGUGAAAACUCCGGACUGUGGUUGCUCACCCUUUAUUGGGAGUGCUUCCGUGGGAAGUUGUGUGAACCUCAUCGUUUAGAGGAAGGUGAANUCGUAACA